rnacentral:rRNA from 1 species
AUGACUUUUGUGCUUGCACAGAAUGAUUAGUGGCGAACGGGUGAGUAACACGUGAGUAACCUGCCCUUGACUUCGGGAUAAGCCUGGGAAACUGGGUCUAAUACCGGAUAUGCACCGUGGACCGCAUGGUUCUUGGUGGAAAGAUUUUUUGGUCAGGGAUGGACUCGCGGCCUAUCAGCUUGUUGGUGAGGUAAUGGCUCACCAAGGCGACGACGGGUAGCCGGCCUGAGAGGGUGACCGGCCACACUGGGACUGAGACACGGCCCAGACUCCUACGGGAGGCAGCAGUGGGGAAUAUUGCACAAUGGGCGAAAGCCUGAUGCAGCGACGCCGCGUGAGGGAUGACGGCCUUCGGGUUGUAAACCUCUUUCAGUAGGGAAGAAGCGAAAGUGACGGUACCUGCAGAAGAAGCGCCGGCUAACUACGUGCCAGCAGCCGCGGUAAUACGUAGGGCGCAAGCGUUAUCCGGAAUUAUUGGGCGUAAAGAGCUCGUAGGCGGUUUGUCGCGUCUAUCGUGAAAGUCCGAGGCUCAACCUCGGAUCUGCGGUGGGUACGGGCAGACUAGAGUGAUGUAGGGGAGACUGGAAUUCCUGGUGUAGCGGUGAANUGCGCAGAUAUCAGGAGGAACACCGAUGGCGAAAGGCAGGUCUCUGGGCAUUAACUGACGCUGAGGAGCGAAAGCAUGGGGAGCGAACAGGAUUAGAUACCCUGGUAGUCCAUGCCGUAAACGUUGGGCACUAGGUGUGGGGGACAUUCCCACGUUUUCCGCGCCGUA